GUGAUUGUAGUUCAGUGGUAGAACGCUUGCCUAGCAUGUGUGAGGCCCUGGGUUCAAUCCCCAGCAACACA
rnacentral:tRNA from 2 species